rnacentral:rRNA from 1 species
UACGAAGGGGGCUAGCGUUGCUCGGAAUCACUGGGCGUAAAGCGCACGUAGGCGGACUCUUAAGUCGGUGGUGAAAUCCUGGAGCUCAACUCCAGAACUGCCUUCGAUACUGAGAGUCUCGAGUCCGGGAGAGGUGAGUGGAACUGCGAGUGUAGAGGUGAAAUUCGUAGAUAUUCGCAAGAACACCAGUGGCGAAGGCGGCCACCUGGACCAGCACUGACACUGAGGCACGAAAGCGUGGGGAGCAAACAGG